GUUUUAAUAGUUUAACCAAAAAUUUUGGUCUUGUAAAUCAAAGAUAAAUUUAAUUUUUUAAAACU
rnacentral:tRNA from 1 species